rnacentral:lncRNA from 1 species
AAUAAAAUAUGAAAACAUAAUAAAAUAUAAAAAUAAACAAAAUAAAAUAAAGAAAUGCCUAAGUAAAAAGUAGGAGAAUUGUGCAUAAAUAUGCACUUAUCAAAUUCCCCCGGACUUGAACUUUUGCACUCCGAGCAAAAUUGAAAUAAAACAAAGAAAGCACACACACAUCAAUAGCUACUCAUUCCAGGCUACAAGUCUUCUUCGGUUAAGUUUGCAUUGAUAGGUACUAAUCUUGCACACUAAGGAUAUUGUAAGAACACUAAUCC